CCUCCUCUGGAUUUUGUCUGUCUGAAUCUGAGCUGAUGCAAGAACACAGUGAAUUGCUCCAUAUAAACUCACCUACUUCCUCCUGUAACAUUCAGACUGUAGUGAAUCAACUCGUCCAGUUCAGACAUAAAGUGUGACAGCUUGCUGCUCCAUCAACUACAAAAUCAGUGUCUGACUGAUGCAAUGCAGCCAGAAAGUUGUUCAGCAGGAAAACUGCGCCAUCGCUCGCUCGUCCUCGUUCACACGCUUGGGGAGGAGUUCAUGGUUCCUGGGAGCAGCUGACAGACAACACACCUAGCACAAACACAUGAACAGGGAGAAGAUGAUCUGGAUCCUUCUGCUCGUCGGCCUGACCUCCUCUGUCUGUGGGAUGUUUGUCUUGAAAAAGACUCCGACCUUCUAUCAGGCAGAGGAGGACGAUAACAUCACCAUCGGAUGGGACAGUCCCAUCAUGUCCCUCACCAUCCUGCGUUGUUUCUUCCAGUCAGAGCCUCUGAAGCUUUUCUAUGAAAUGGUUGACGGUGUGGAGUCCUCAGAGUCUCAGCAUCAGCAGUUUGCAGGACGGGUGCAGUGUGACAAAGACGUCCUCAGAGGAGGACGAGUCAGACUUCAUAUGUCCAGAGUCAGGACUGAUGACUCUGGACGUUACUGGUGUGAUCUGGCUGCUAAUUAUGACAAGAUCAGGAGAAGAUGGGGGCUAGAGACCACUGAACAUUUUGUACUGAAUGUGGCCCAGACCAAUGAUGGAGAGAGCAGUGAUGUGUCUCUCAACUCAUCAAAGUCUCAAGUGGCAGCAACUAAAGGUCAACAUGGUGCAGGACAGCCACCAGGAAGCCCAAAACAUGAAGUCAUAGCUCCACUAUUAAUAGUAGCUUUGGUUUUUGUUGCUGUAAUCUUGGCAACUUGGACAUUUCUGACAGCAUGUGCUUGUGAAGACCGAGGACAACAACCUCAAGACCAGGAUGGACGUUACAUCGUGCUCCCGAUUGAGAUAGUCCCCAUCCUGACCCACUCCAGAUUGGUGGUGACUGUCCUGAGUGAUCCAGAUGGAGCAUGCUCUGUAGCCCUGUGCUGAAGAGGUAUGUCUCAGUGAACUUUGGGGCUUCAUUAAACCGUAGCUAUAUCACUAAUAUGAUAAAAUCUCUUUAGGCAAAGACUCAGCUCCUCCAUCUCCCCUUUUAAGCCAGAGUAGAGCUUUUCAACUGUUGCAUUGCUUCUUAGCAGAGCCCCACAUGUACAAGGUAACUGAAACCAGUAUGGUAAGGUAGGAGGGUCAUGCCCUCUGAGGUAUGUUGUUGUCAGCUGAUGAGACUGACUUUUGUUAUGUUUUCUUUCCCCUUAUUGCAGAUUUAAGGCCAGACUGCUGCUUUGCCUGAGCCAGUUCGCCAAGGUGGUUGGCGAAUGUGUUACAGACUGUACAACUUACAUAAUCUGUAGAUGGUUGAAUAUUGUCUUUUUAUAUUGGGUGUAGUGACCCUGAGUGUCUGUGAAUCUGAACCAACUGAAUCUCAUUGUAUUUUCCGUCUUUUGUUUGAUUAGGCAGUGGGACGACCUGCGGGGAGUAGUCGUGGGAUAGGCACCCCUCCUUGCAUGCAGUGUGGUAUAUUUGAAGGGUAGUGGUCACGUCAUUGGGUUGUAGGUUUGACUUUCCUUGCAGUGCAAGUUGUAGUGUUUGUAGUGAUCAGUGUGCACACACGGUGAUUUUGAUUGGGUGAUAGUCUCCCCGCGGUGAGUACCCUGUCCUGCCUAUUCCUCGCGAUCAUUUAAUCUUAUUGUAUUUUAUGUUAUGGUGAAGCCAUUUGCUAUUUAUAUACUGGUUGUUUCGACCAUUUUAGUAUUGUGGAAUAAACUAAUUUUGACUAGUUUUAUGGUUUCUCUUUUCUUUUUCAGGUCUUUUGCCAGUAUAAUUUAUUUUUAAUAAAUAUUAUUGGAGAGCUGAAUGCACGUCUCCCGCUUUUCUUGAACCCUUUAAAAAUUGUGUCAACGCUCAGAUGGUUGGUGUCUAGGGCUGGUAUAAUUCUAUUCUGGGUAUCGGUCCGCAUUGUAACCUGGGUGGGGUCAGUUAGUUUAAAUCUGAUUUAUUUCUCAUAACUCUUAAAAUCGAAAUCAGAAUAAUCGUGUGUGUGUGUGUGUCCGUCCCCCUGUGUGUCCGUCCCCCUGUGUGUCCGUCCCCCUGUGUGUCCGUCCCCCUGUGUGUCCGUGCCCCUGUGUGUCCGUGCCCCUGUGUGUCCGUGUCCCUGUGUGUCCGUCCCCCUGUGUGUGUGUGUGGGUGUGUCCCUGUGUGUCCCUGUAUGCCCGUCCCCCUGUGUGUGUGUGGGUGUGUCCCUGUGUGUGCCUGUAUGCCCGUCCCCGUGUGUGUGUGGGUGUGUCCCUGUGUGUGCCUGUAUGCCCGUCCCCCUGUGUGUGUGGGUGUGUCCCUGUGUGUCCCUGUAUGCCCGUCCCCCUGUGUGUGUGUGGGUGUGUCCCUGUGUGUGCCUGUAUGCCCGUCCCCGUGUGUGUGUGUGGGUGUGUCCCUGUGUGUCCCUGUAUGCCCGUCCCCCUGUGUGUGUGUGGGUGUGUCCCUGUGUGUGCCUGUAUGCCCGUCCCCGUGUGUGUGUGUGGGUGUGUCCCUGUGUGUGCCUGUAUGCCCGUCCCCCUGUGUGUGUGUGUGUGUGUGGGUGUGUCCCUGUUUACCCCUCUCCUUCUUCUGAGCAACUCUCCAAUCAAAGGUGGAGACUCCCAACCCACUUCAUUGUUGUCAGUGUUGCAUGCACAUUGCGAAGGGCUCACAGGCUGAAACAUGCAUUUGCAACGGUAAUAUGUAAUGAUGUAAUGUCAGUCAUUGAUCGCUCUGUUCUCCCUCCAGCUGUUCUCAAUCAUCAGUCGAAUCAGUCAUGAUGAUUCAGCGAAUCUGAAAAAUUCAUCGGUCUUUAUGAACGCGUUGUUCCGCCCAGUGAGUGUAUAUUGAAACUCUGGGAUUGGGUGAAAACUUGCUGCACCGUGGGAAGGGCUCGCAGACUGACUUACGCUUGAUAUGAACCAUUAGAACGUUUUGGAGGAUCGAACCACCAACCUUUCCGAAUAAUGAGCGACCCACUGUACCUCUGAGCCACAGUCGACCCUCUCCCGUUUGUAUGAAGUGCAGCCAACCAGGGAGAAGAUGAUCUGCUGGAUCCUGCUGCUCAUCAACCUGACCUCCUGUGUCUGUGGAACAUUUGUAGUGAAUGUGACACAGACCUCCUAUCAGGCAGAGGAGAACCAUAACAUCACACUGGAAUGGACGUUCACAACCAACAAUGACAGUUCCCUCAACUCUCUUUCUAUCUACUGUGAACUGAUUACUGAUCACAUGGUUUCAGUCCUGUAUCAUCUACAUGAAGGUGUCGAGGUCCCAGAGUCUCAGGAUGAACAGUUUGCAGGACGAGUCCAGUGUGACAAAGACGUCCUCAGAGAAGGACGACUCAGACUUCAUGUGUCCAGACUCAGGACUGAAGACUCGGGCCUGUACCAGUGUGAAGUAUUCACAAAUUAUGGUGGCAGUUUGGGCAGAUGUCGACUUAAUGUCACUGCAGCGAGGGAUUUGCCCAAACCUGAGGCACAAAACACAAGAAGUCGGGGAAGACUCGGACUCUACUGUGGACUGGGACUGGCAGCAGCAGCAGCAGCUGUGCUGUUUGCUUUUUAUCUUUUAUUCAUUCACUCUGUACCUGAAGGUCACGACUUCAGAUUUCAGGUCAGUAGUAGAAGGGAACAUUUACAUCUCAGCAUGAUCAGAGGAAACACUUUGAUCAGUAAUGUAAAUGAGACAGACUUCAUGUCCAGACUCAGGA